rnacentral:rRNA from 1 species
UCAGGCCUAACACAUGCAAGUCGAACGAUGAAGAGCAGCUUGCUGCUCGGAUUAGUGGCGCACGGGUGAGUAUACCAUAGAUAAUGUACCCCUUAGUUCGGGAUAGCCACUGGAAACGGUGAUUAAUACCGGAUACUCCUUCUUGCCUCAAGGUAAGUCGGGAAAGUUUUUUCGCUAAGGGAUCGGUCUAUGUCCUAUCAGCUUGUUGGUGAGGUAAUGGCUCACCAAGGCUAUGACGGGUAUCUGGUUUGAGAGGAUGAUCAGACACACUGGAACUGAGACACGGUCCAGACUCCUACGGGAGGCAGCAGUGAGGAAUAUUGCACAAUGGAGGAAACUCUGAUGCAGCAACGCCGCGUGGAGGAUGACGCAUUUCGGUGUGUAAACUCCUUUUAUUAGGGAAGAUAAUGACGGUACCUAAUGAAUAAGCACCGGCUAACUCCGUGCCAGCAGCCGCGGUAAU